CUGCCUGGCCCUAAGGGGGAACCUGUGAGUUGCAUUUUAUGCUGUCUUUGUUUGGACAGAUGGUUUGGGAAGUCCUGGAUGCGUUUGGAAUAAUGCAGAUAGGAGGACUGGCCAAUGCACUUUUCUCUGAAUGUGAGUAAUGAAAUAAUUGUCUCCAGUAGAUGCCAAUCUAGUAAUGAUAGACAGGGUAGUCUCUACAAUCUGUCAGUGCCUCUCUAAAAAUAAGCUGAGAGACUCCUCUUGGGCAGCAACAGAUAGGCCCUUCUGCUGUUCACCUGUGUAGCGCAAAGAAUUAAGUAGCCAGAUUUGGACCUUAUCUCUAGCAUGUUGGUAACCUAAUGGCCUUGGGAGUUAGAAGGACGGAAACUACCAGAGAGUUUCAAAACAGAAACAGUGAAACACUUUACUCCUUUCCUAGUAAAUACAUGCUGUUCUUUCCCAUCCUGCUCUUCCUCCUCUUCAGGGCAGUGUUGCAUUCAAAGGAGAAAUGGGAAUUCCAGGUGACCCAGGAAUACCAGGUCUUCCUGGAGACAAAGGACUUCCUGGACCUCCUGGUUUUGGUCCCCAAGGUUCACCUGGUGAAAAGGGCAUCCAAGGUGUAUCAGGUCGUCCAGGACCUCCCGGAGUUCCUGGUCCAAAAGGUGAACCUGGUCAGACUAUUACAGAACCAGGAGUACCUGGCCUCCCUGGUCCUCCAGGCAGAAAUGGUGACCCAGGUCUUCCAGGUAAAGCUGCAACUAGAUGUCCAGGGAAUUGCAAGAGCCUUUCUUUCUGAUUGACUCUUGAUAAUUACACUGAUUUUCUUCUUUCUACAGGGGAUCCUGGUCAGCCAGGUCAGCGUGGCCUGCCAGGCAUCCCAGGUGUGAAAGGAGAGCCAGGUGUUCCUGGCAUUGGACUUCCAGGUCCACCAGGCCCAAAAGGUAUGUUUGCAGCCAAGUAUUGGCUAAAAAUGGGGACAUUUUGAGAGUUGUACCUCUUCACUUUGUUCUAGUCAAUUAACUUACAUCUUUAACAGGAUCUUUUAAAAAAAUGUUUACCUUGAAGUUAUCCAUCUUUAUAUUCUGUCAGAAGCAUCUGGAAAAAACUCU
rnacentral:lncRNA from 1 species